GUAUUCCCAUCACCCAUGACAUCUCUCACCCAAACCCACUGCAAUCACAUUCCUCCUCCAAACAUUAGAGGCUUGAGUGAAACCAAAGGAUCCUCCAUGAAGUCUCCGGGGGCCCAAGCCCGCUGCAUAAUCAGGCUCUUUCUCCAAACAUUGAAGGCUUGAGUUGAACUGAAGCUUGAGAAGGAAGCGAAAAAAUACCACAUCAUCAUCCUCAUUCAAAUACUCAACAUACUGUUAUAUGCCUGGAUGAUGUGAUGUUUAAUAAUUGAAGUUAUUAUAAGGUUCCAG
rnacentral:lncRNA from 1 species